rnacentral:rRNA from 1 species
UCCUACGGGGGGCAGCAGUGGGGAAUAUUGGCCAAUGGGGGAAACCCUGAUCCAGCGACGCCGCGUGAGUGAAGAAGUAUUUCGGUACGUAAAGCUCUAUCAGCAGGAAAGAAAAUGACGGUACCUGACUAAGAAGCCCCGGCUAACUACGUGCCAGCAGCCGCGGUAAUACGUAGGGGGCAAGCGUUAUCCGGAUUUAUUGGGUUUAAAGGGUGCGCAGGCGGAGGUGCAAGUCAGCGGUCAAAUUUCGGGGCUCAACCCCGUCGUGCCGUUGAAACUGGCGUUCUUGAGUGAGCGAGAAGUAU